UUGCUCCUGGGUCAGUUGGCAGAGCAUGAGACUCUUAAUCUCGGGGCCAUAGGUUCAUGACCCAUGCUGGGGAAAA